CUGUCAGGAUGAACGCUGGCGGCGUGCCUAAUACAUGCAAGUCGAACGAGUUCUCGUUGAUGAUCGGUGCUUGCACCGAGAUUCAACAUGGAACGAGUGGCGGACGGGUGAGUAACACGUGGGUAACCUGCCCUUAAGUGGGGGAUAACAUUUGGAAACAGAUGCUAAUACCGCAUAGAUCCAAGAACCGCAUGGUUCUUGGCUGAAAGAUGGCGUAAGCUAUCGCUUUUGGAUGGACCCGCGGCGUAUUAGCUAGUUGGUGAGGUAAUGGCUCACCAAGGCGAUGAUACGUAGCCGAACUGAGAGGUUGAUCGGCCACAUUGGGACUGAGACACGGCCCAAACUCCUACGGGAGGCAGCAGUAGGGAAUCUUCCACAAUGGACGCAAGUCUGAUGGAGCAACGCCGCGUGAGUGAAGAAGGCUUUCGGGUCGUAAAACUCUGUUGUUGGAGAAGAAUGGUCGGCAGAGUAACUGUUGUCGGCGUGACGGUAUCCAACCAGAAAGCCACGGCUAACUACGUGCCAGCAGCCGCGGUAAUACGUAGGUGGCAAGCGUUAUCCGGAUUUAUUGGGCGUAAAGCGAGCGCAGGCGGUUUUUUAAGUCUGAUGUGAAAGCCCUCGGCUUAACCGAGGAAGCGCAUCGGAAACUGGGAAACUUGAGUGCAGAAGAGGACAGUGGAACUCCAUGUGUAGCGGUGAAAUGCGUAGAUAUAUGGAAGAACAUCCAGUGGCGAAGGCGGCUGUCUGGUCUGUAACUGACGCUGA
rnacentral:rRNA from 1 species